rnacentral:rRNA from 1 species
UGGGGAAUAUUGCACAAUGGGCGCAAGCCUGAUGCAGCCAUGCCGCGUGUGUGAAGAAGGCCUUCGGGUUGUAAAGCACUUUCAGCGAGGAGGAAGGGUUCAGUGUUAAUAGCACUGUUCAUUGACGUUACUCGCAGAAGAAGCACCGGCUAACUCCGUGCCAGCAGCCGCGGUAAUACGGAGGGUGCAAGCGUUAAUCGGAAUUACUGGGCGUAAAGCGCACGCAGGCGGUUUGUUAAGUCAGAUGUGAAAUCCCCGCGCUUAACGUGGGAACUGCAUUGAAACUGGCAAGCUAGAGUCUUGUAGAGGGGGGUAGAAUUCCAGGUGUAGCGGUGAAAUGCGUAGAGAUCUGGAGGAAUACCGGUGGCGAAGGCGGCCCCCUGGACAAAGACUGACGCUCAGGUGCGAAAGCGUGGGGAGCAAACAGGAUUAGAUACCCUUGGUAGUCCACGCUGUAAACGAUGUCGACUUGGAGGUUGUGCCCUUGAGGCGUGGCUUCCGGAGCUAACGCGUUAAGUCGACCGCCUGGGGGAGUACGGCCGCAAGGUUAAAAC